UGGUAAUGCCGGAUGCUCCGACAUGACGCAUGUCGUGUCGGGAAAGAUUCAUCGGUAUGGGAUGGGGUCGCGUCCUAUCAGCUUGAUGGCGGGGUAACGGCCCACCAUGGCUUCGACGGGUAGCCGGCCUGAGAGGGCGACCGGCCACAUUGGGACUGAGAUACGGCCCAGACUCCUACGGGAGGCAGCAGUGGGGAAUAUUGCACAAUGGGCGCAAGCCUGAUGCAGCGACGCCGCGUGCGGGAUGACGGCCUUCGGGUUGUAAACCGCUUUUGACUGGGAGCAAGCCCUUCGGGGUGAGUGUACCUUUCGAAUAAGCACCGGCUAACUACGUGCCAGCAGCCGCGGUAAUACGUAGGGUGCAAGCGUUAUCCGGAAUUAUUGGGCGUAAAGGGCUCGUAGGCGGUUCGUCGCGUCCGGUGUGAAAGUCCAUCGCUUAACGGUGGAUCCGCGCCGGGUACGGGCGGGCUUGAGUGCGGUAGGGGAGACUGGAAUUCCCGGUGUAACGGUGGAAUGUGUAGAUAUCGGAAA
rnacentral:rRNA from 1 species